UACGGAGGGUGCAAGCGUUGUUCGGAAUCACUGGGCGUAAAGCGCGUGUAGGCGGCCUCCUAAGUCUGGUGUGAAAGCCCGGGGCUUACCCCCGGAAGUGCAUUGGAUACUGGGAGACUAGAGUACCGGAGAGGAGGGUGGAAUUCCUGGUGUAGCGGUGAAAUGCGUAGAUAUCAGGAAGAACACCGGUGGCGAAGGCGGCCCUCUGGACGGAUACUGACGCUGAGACGCGAAAGCGUGGGGAGCAAACAGG
rnacentral:rRNA from 1 species